rnacentral:rRNA from 1 species
AACGAACGCUGGCGGCAGGCCUAACACAUGCAAGUCGAGCGCCCCGCAAGGGGAGCGGCGGACGGGUGAGUAACACGUGGGAAUAUGCCCUUUGCUACGGAAUAGUCUCGGGAAACUGGGGGUAAUACCGUAUACGCCCUUUGGGGGAAAGAUUUAUCGGCGAAGGAUUAGCCCGCGUUGGAUUAGGUAGUUGGUGGGGUAAUGGCCUACCAAGCCGACGAUCCAUAGCUGGUUUGAGAGGAUGAUCAGCCACACUGGGACUGAGACACGGCCCAGACUCCUACGGGAGGCAGCAGUGGGGAAUCUUAGACAAUGGGGGCAACCCUGAUCUAGCCAUGCCGCGUGAGUGAUGAAGGCCUUAGGGUUGUAAAGCUCUUUCAGCUGGGAAGAUAAUGACGGUACCAGCAGAAGAAGCCCCGGCUAACUCCGUG